UGCAAACAAUUUCAUCAAAUUAAAAAAUCUCUUCUGUCCUUAUAUACAGGUAUUAUAACAAUACAUGGAAAUUAGACGACACUACAUGCGAUUAUGCUCAAAAGUAUUUGUGUUCUGCUUAAGCGGAAAUCGACGGAAAUGAAGGGUACCUCAUUCAUGAAAUCACUCCGCGAAUUAUAUUACUGCAAUCGCAUGGCUCGUAAAUAAAUCGUACGUGUAGUUUAGUUGCAUGUCUAAUGGAAAUUUAGUUUAUUAUUAUUGUUAUUGCAUGCUAUAAAACUUGUUGAAUUGCAGGACAAUAAAUAAUCUAAGCAUAAA
rnacentral:lncRNA from 1 species